CUACGUUGGCCCAACGUUGGCCAAUGGUUGGACCAUUGGCCGAUGGUUGGCGUUGGGUUUACAACGUUGGCCCAAUGUUGGGCCAAUGUCAACAUCACACUAUUUACUCAGAGGUCAAGGUUGGUUGGGGACACAACGUUGGCCCAACGUUGGGCCAUUGUUGUUAGCUUGUCACCACUAAGUUGACGGAUUUUGUUGGGAGUACAACAUUGGUCCAACGUUGGGCCAACAUGGUGAAUCACGCUCUUAUUUUGCUAUAGUUUGUUGGACAUACAACGUUGGCCCAAUGUUGGGUCAAUGUCAAGAUAACCCUAUUUUACUCAGAAGAUAUGAGGUGAGGACACUACAAUGGCCCAACGUCGGACUGCUGUUUACAACGUUGGUUUAACAACGUUGGCCCAAUGUUGGGUCAAUGUAAAUAUUACAAUAUUUUACUCAGAGGUAAAGGUUGGUUAGGAAAACAACGAUGGACCAACGUUGGGCCACUGUUGUUAGCUUGUCACCACUAAGCUAAAAGAUUUUGUUGGGAGUACGACAUUGUCCUAAAAAACACGCAUAACGAUGUAUAUCAAAUUAUAUUUUUAGUUUGUGAAACUUUAAAAUAUGUGUACAUGUUUAAACACUACUAGUUCUAUGAAGUAAAUGUUUAAGAGAAAAAGAUAACAUAAAUUUAACUUAAAGUUAAACAAAAUUUAGUAUGCAUAAAAUUAACUUGUAUAUUUAAAAAAAAUACAUGUAUAAGACCAACAAGACACACACUUUCUAAAGUGUUGCAUUUAGGGGGCAUUUUCUGAGAUAAGAGAACAUUUUCUGACCAAGCAAUUAGGAGAGGGUUUUUCACAGCGUGAGACUGGCCAGUUUCUAUGGUAAUCGUGAUAUCUGAUAGCACAGGAUGGUCAAAUCUGCAAUCUUUUAACACGCGCCUAACAUUUUAUUCCCGGAUGUUUCCUACAGGAGAACGUUAAAUUGAAGUUUUUAUGCUAAAAAGAAAGCUUUGAUAUGUGUGUUCUUGAAUUUGGAUUUUUAGAACUAUGUCCAGACAUUCACAUACGGAAAUUGGAAAUAACUUGGUAAAUGAAGAGGAGAGUAUUUGCUGCCAUGUUUCUAAAACAAAAUUGCAAAGAAUUCCAUUGGAAGACAGAUAGAAAAAUCCGGCUUUUUCAAAGAAGACCGGGAUUUAAAAAGAGCUGUUUGAAUUAACCGCUUGUAUGCCGAAGCAAUUUCUAUGGAAUUUCACUACGUACGAUCAUGAAGGAAGAUUAAGAACAGACAGGAAAAGAAAGAAGAAAAUUCAAAAAUACAAUGGAGGACAGUGAUUGGUUAUUAACCUGUUAAUAAAAAGUGUAUAUAAAUAAAAAAAAAAGUGAAAUACUUUGGAAAUUUAUUCUACUAUAUAUAUACAAAUUUCAAU